rnacentral:rRNA from 1 species
GCUGGCGACAAUAGCAAGAGUGAACCACCUGAUCCCUUCCCGAACUCAGAAGUGAAACCUCUUAGCGCUGAUG